AUCGCCGCUUUGCCCCGCGACCGCGCGCGCCUCCUCGUCCUCCCCCGCGCCUUUGUUUCCGUCUCCUUCUCCUUUCCCUCCUCUUUUGUGUCGGGCCAGACUCAGCCCCAGAAACCAGCCACCCUGCCGCGUCCGACUGCCAGGGAUCCCUCACGCCGCGAGUACCAGAGAUGUCUCCAAGAGCACCAGCAACCCCAGCUAUCUGGAUCUGAAGUGGAUAUGCUCAGAGACAUCCUGGCCCACCCCAAAGAAGAUGCUGCUGCACUCAGAAGACGCCAGAGCUAGCCACCACCCACACUGCAAGUCUGGAAGCUCUGCAAGGACCCAGCAAGGCAGCCUGCUCAGCGAAGGCUUUGUCUCCUGUGGCAGGAAGAGCAACAUUAAGAACAAGAACCCCGGGCUGGACUACCCCUGAGAUUUAAUGACCAGAGCUGAGACCCCCAAGACCACAAUGACUAUGGAGGGCUGUCAUUACCCUGCCUGACCCUCUAAUGCCUCUCAGUUCAAGGAGGCCACUGAGUGAAACUGAAGGCUGGUUUUCCUUGGAAGCCAGCGGCCCAUCCACCUGCUCCACUUCCCUGCCUCUUGCAGCCUCCGCUCAAACACUGUCGUGGCUUGGCAGCACUACAAGGCAGAGUGAAAACAGAUACUUCUACCCACAUUCCUAUCUCCUCUCAUUUACGCAGAUUAAAUGCUUUCUUUCCUUGUUUUACACUGCUAGGAUUUUCAUCACCCUGUUUUUUCUUUCUCUACAUCAGCUACAAGAAAAAAAAAAGGAGUUACUGAGCAACUAAGAAGUCACAACUGUUUUCAGUUUUAUUAAUGAGUUGUUAUACUUAUUUUAUAGAUAGAGAAUUACCAUUAUAACAUUGCUCCAUUGCCCACUCAUCCAUUCACGCAUCUGUCCAUCCGUCCAUCCACCCAUUUGUCCACUCCCCAAAUGGUCAUCAAUUGUCUACUGUGAGCCAAGCAAAGUGCUCCUUACUUUGGACUCUGAAUCCAGUGCUCUUUCUACUUCACCAUAGACACAUGCCCCUUGAGUAUAAGGGAGCUUGAUUCAUUCAACAAAUAUCUGUUGUCCAUCUCCAAUGUACUGGCAUAUUCUAAAUGCAUCCAACAAAAACCAAAAUGAAAAAAAAGAAAAACCCAUUCCUUCAAGGGGAUUGCAUUCGGACUGGGGGAGACAGAUAAAAUAAAAAUAAUGAAGUCAAAUAUAUAUGUUAGUGACAUGUGCCAUGAAGAAUAAUGCCCAAUAGUAUUUCAGGGGCUGCCAAGCUGCUCUCCUGUUUCCUCUUCCUUGGGGCUGAUUGCAUCCCAUGAUGUGCCCAGGUUUUGAGAUGCUCCUCGUGAAUGAAAAUAGGACUGUCUGGUUCCUCCAUCCAUAGCAAGGGAGCCUAGACAGAAAUAACUUCUGUGCAUUUCUCCAGCUACAUUUAGGGAAAACUAGAAAAUACAGAAAUAUAUCAAGAAGAAAAAAAAUUUAAAAAUGACCCAAAAUCCCACCAACCAGAGACAGCUAUUAAUGAUUGUGGUAUAUUUAUUGAAUUUACUAAAGUCAUGCUAUACGCUAGGCACUGUGGAGGGACUGCAGAAAGACUUCAAGGACUGCACCGUCUUGUUAGAAAGAUGCCUAGACAACAUUUGAGAAACGCUGAUCAUGUCUGAUGACACAUAACUGCUAACAGUUACAUGGAAUUUUCUAUAUGCUAUAUACAAACAUACAAAUAUAUGUAUGUAUAUUUACUCAGCUCUCACAACAGCUACUACUGUUAUUAUGAAUCCUGUUUUAUAGUGAGAAAACUGAAACAUGGAGAGGUUAAGUAAUUUGCCCAAGAUCACAUAGCUACUAAGUGGUGGAACUGUGAUUAGAAUCCAGGCAUUCAGGCUCCAGAGUUCAUACUCUUCACAUACCACAUCUAUCUUGAAUAUAACAAUGUAGAGAAAAAGAAUUAUAGCAAGCAUAUGUCUAGGUAAGCAUUUUCCAGAAGUGACUGUUUUUUUGCAUUGGGUUUGUAAACUUUCAACAAUAAAGCAGGUUGGACUUUAUAUCAGUCAAAGCAGAAUAUUCUGAUGUCACCUUCCCCAAUGUUUAGGAUGUUAAUGAGAAUUGCUAAUCCAAGAGAAGAAAAUAAUCUCAUCUAAUUUGGGUAAGUCAAUUAUUUGAAAGUAGAAGAACCACCCUUCCACCUCUCUUGUUCUAAGGAACCUCUGGGGGAAGUACUGGAAAAAUAAUGCUUUCUAAUAAGCCCAAUAGGGCUUUUGAUUUGUAAUAACUAUUUUAAUAAGUAUCAGUUCAAUUCCUAUUAUUUUUAAGAAGUUCAUUGAAUGAAUUAAAGAACAAAUGAAUGAGCAAUGCUUUAGGCUAUAGGCUUUCAGAGGACGUAAUUCUAUGAAACAGACUCAGUGGUAUGCUGGCACCAGCUCCUACUUGCGUCUCUUUUCAACUUUGUGUUCAGUGACUUUGCCUUGGUAGCUUGACAUCAGCCAUGGUGGGAAUAUUUAAACUAAAUAACUGAGAAAAUGAUUCAUAUUAGAGAGCUUUCUUUUUUCCCGGGAACUAAGUGUUAAACAUUUACCAGCACACCACUGCCUAGACUUGUUAGGAAAUUCACAAGUGAGAAGAAAUUCUGUGAUUCCAGGAGAUGAAAGAGGGAAGUGUAAUGAGAAUAUCAACUUGAGUAUUUUAUCCGUUGCUUUCUUUAAUUGGGUCAUUUCAGAGGGUGGGUAGAUUUUGUUAAGACAGUUGAAAUAUUUAGGUAGGUAGAGGGGUGAGUGCAGUUGAAGAGUAAAGGCUGUUUGGGGCAGACAAAAGAAUGAUAGCACUCUUUCAAGUGCUCUGCCACCAGCAGUAAAAGUCGGGAGAAGGACCUAGCACCAGGACACGUGAUCUGUCCGGCGUAAGCGAGUGCUGAGUCAAAGGCCUGCAAUUCAGGCCCCUGCUCUGGGGCACGGUCAGUUUCAGCCAGGCCCAACUCUCUUUCCCAGGUCCAUGGCGUGGAUGGCACCCAGAAUCCAGCAGGGGAGUGCUGGUGGAUACACCUGGGAGGGCCUGGUGGAGGAUCAUUUGCGUGCAGAAAUAAGGAAAUAGACAUAUUUGAGCUGGAAGAAAAUCUUACAUGUCUGAUCCAAUUCUCUCAUUUCACAGAUAAGGAAAAGGGGCCCCAAAGAGUGAAGAGGGGAUGUCCUGAGGUCAUGAGGCUGGCUUACAGCAAGGAUCUGGACCAGACAGCAGGGUGGGACCCUCAGCUGUCCCCAUACUUGCUGCUUGAUAUUGGAUAGGUUAUUUAGGCUCUAUGUGUUUUCUCAUAAACACAUAGAGGUUAGGUAAAAAUGGUGGUGUGAGAAUGAACUAAUACAUGUAAAGAGCUUGCAUGUAGUAAGCUCUCAAUAAAUAUUAAUAAUACUGGGCACAGUGGCUCACACCUGUAAUCCCAGCACUUUGAGAGGCCAAGGCGGGUGGAUCCCUUGAGGUCAGGAGUUUGAGAACGCCCUGACAAACAUGGUGAAACCCCAUCUCUACUAAAAAUACAAAAAAUUAGCCAGGCAUGGUGGUGGGUGCCUGUAAUCCCAGCUGCUCGGGAGGCUGAGGCAAGAGAAUCACUUGAACCUGAGAGGUGGAGGUUGCUUUGAGCCCAGAUCAUGCCACUGCACUCCAGCCUAGGUGACAGAACCAGACUUCAUCUCAAAAAAAAAAAAAUUAAUAAUAUAGAGCCCUUGUGUUGACACUAUUCUCUUUUACAGCCAGAAAGAGAGAAAGAUUACAGAAAAUAAAAAUAUAUUAAUAUAUUAAAGGCAUAAUACUGUGAAUUAAUACUGAUUAAUUCAAUAUACUAUUAUAUCAAAAACCAGGAUACUAAUAAUAAAUAAUAUAUGGAAAACCACCAUACACAUUGGUAAAACAUUAACAUUUUCAAAUCUCCAAUCCAAGAAUUUUCCCCAAAUCCAGAUUGUGCAGGUAUUUUAGUGAAUGAUUCACCCUACAGAAUUACUUAUUACAUUUUUCUUUAAACUUCAAUGGAUUUGUAGCUGAAUGAGGGAUCAGGUAAUCACCAGACAUCUUGGAAGGGCACAUGAUCCCUCAGGCCUUUUCUUGGAGAAUGUUUAAAGAAACCUCUUCCUUCCCAUUAGGGAGGCCGACCAUGAGUCCCUUUGUGUUGACAGUGAAGGUGUCUGGGGCUACACCUCUUUCACAUGCUCUGCCACCAGCAGUAAAAGUCAGAAGGCCCUGGCACAGGGCACACCUGAUCUGUUCGGCAUAAGUGCUGAGUCAAAAGCCUGCAAUUAAGGCCAGUGGCUGGGAGGAGGCCUGGUCCCAGCCUCUCCUUGAUUUGCCUCACCCCACCCAAACACAGGUCAUGUUCAUCAUCUGCUAGCCAGCAAGGAAGAUGUGUGGGGUACAGGUUACAGGGACUGAGCCCGGAGCCUGACUUUCUGGGCUCUACCACUCGUUGUCUUCAUUUCCAAAGGCAAAGCACUUGACCUCUCUGAGCCUCCAUUUCUCAUCCAUAAAAUGGGGAUGAUGAUAAAAGUGACUGCUUCAUAGGAUUGUUGAGAGGAUCAACUCAAGUAAUAUGUGAAAAGUGGCACAUAAUAAGUACUCUGUUUCAUGUUUCUAAUUAAUUUUAUUUUUUUUAGGUUUUUUACUGUGGUAAAAUAUAUGUAACAUAAAAUUUACUAUUUUACUAUUUUUAAGUGUAAGUGGCGUUGAAUACAUUGUGGCAUUGAAUACAUUCACACUGUCAUGCAACCAUCAACACCAUCCACCUCCAGCCUUCUUCGUCAUCCCAAACUGAAACUCUACUCAUUAAACAAUAACUCCUCAUUCCCGCUUCCCCUUAGCCUCUGGGAACCAUUGUUCUUUGCCCAUUUUUAAAUGGAGGUUGUUGCUGGGUUGUGGGAGUUCUUUAUUCUGGAUAUUAAUCCUUUACCAAAUAGAUAAUUUGAUUUUUUUUCCUAUUCUGUGUGUUGCCUUGACUAUGUCCUUUCAUGCACAAAAUAUUUUAAUUUUGAUGAAGUCUAGUUUACCUAUUUUUUCUUGUAUUGCCUGUGUUUUGGUGUUAAUUCCAAGAAAUCAUUGCAAAAUUCAAUGUCAUGAAAUUUUGCCCCUUUCUUCUAAGAGUUUUAUAGUUUUAGCUCUUAUGUUUAGGUCAUUGAUGACUUUGAGUUAAUUUUUGUUUAUGAUGUAAGGUAAUGGUACAACUUCAUCCUUUUGCAUGUGGAUAUCCAGUUUUCCCAGCACUAUUUAUUGAAAAAAAGACUGUCUUUUCUCCAUUGAGUGGUCUUGGCAUCCUAGUUGAAAAUCAUUUGACCCUAUAUAUUAAGGUUUAUUUCUGAUUUCAUUGGUCUAUGAGUCUGUCUUUAUGCCAGGACCACUCUGUUUUGAUUACGGUAGCUUUAUAGCAAGUUUUGAAAUCAGGAAGUGUGAGACCUUCAACUUUGUUCUUCAUUUUUCUGGAUGUUUUGGCUAUUCUGGGCCCCUUGAGAUUUGAGAAAGAGUUCCCUCUACUGGCAGAUCUAAGACAGUCUGUUGACUCAGGUACCUGAUAAUUUUUGAAGAUGCAUUUAAGAAGUUAAACUAUUGAGAAUAAAAAAAUCUUAGCUAGGCUUUAUUUUAUUUUUCUGAUCGGUUAGAGACUCUUGGAGACUUCUCUUUCUUCUCAAUCAAUUUGACUGAGGUAUAAUUAAAAAAAAAUAAAACAUACUGAUAUGGCUUGGCUGUGUCCCCACCCAAAAUCUCAUCUUGAAUUAUAAUCCCCAUAAUCAUCAUAAUCCCCACGUGUCAAGAGAGAGACCAGGUGGAAGUAAUUGAAUCAUGGGGGCAGUUUCCCCGAUGUUGUUCUCGUGAUAGUGAGUGAGUUCUCACGAGAUCUGAUGGUUUAUGUGUUUACUAGUUCUUCCUGCGUUAAUUUUCCUUCCUGCCACCAUGUGAAGAAGGGGUCUUGCUUCCCCUUCGCUUUCUUACACGAUUGAAAGUUUCCUGAGGCCUCCCCAGUCCUGCGGAACUGUGAGUCAAUUAAACCUCUUUCCUUUAUAAAUUACCCAGUCUCGGACAGUUCUUUAUAGCAGUAUGAAAACAGACUAAUGCAUAUACAGACACAUACACCUAAGUAACCAUCACUAUCGCAAUCAGGAUAUCAAAUAUUUCUAUCAACCCAAAAAGUUCCUUUGUGAUUUUUGUAGUCAGUCCCCACUCUUGAUUCCCCAUGCCCCAGGCAACCACAGGUCUGCUCCCCGUCAUAUAGACGAGUGUUGUCUGUGUUCAGAUUUCAAAUACAUGGAAUUGCACAAUAUAUGCUCCUAUGUCUAAAUUUUUUUCACUUAGCAUAAUGUUUUCGAAAUUCAUUCAUGUUGUAUUUAUCAGUAGUUUUUAGCAUUGUAUCGCACUGUGGUAUUUCAUUGUAUAUAUCAUCAUUUGUUUAUCCAUUGACCAGUUGAACAUUUGGGCUAUUUCCAGUUUGGGGCUGUUUUGAAUAAAGGUGCCAAGUUCAAGUCUUAUUUGCAGACAUAUGUUUUCAUUUCUCCUGAAUAAAUACCUGCAAGUGGAAUUUCUGGA
rnacentral:lncRNA from 1 species